AGCUGAUAUUGAUUAUUUUCCUAUAACAGCAUGUCCUGAGGUGUUAUUCCUCACAUCCCACAGCAAUUUGCCAAACCUAACAAUACCUUUUUAUUAAUGAAUGUCACAUGAUACUAUUUAUCCAUUUGUAGUUGCAUUUUAAUGUUCUUGAACAUCCAUAAAACAAGUUCCUGUUAUCACUCAACAGUUGUUCCCUCACCAGAUUCAACAUUUUCUCUCUCUCUUGAUGUUAAACAUGCAUUAAAAUGCAGUUUGUCAGGUUAUGAGAAACUGGAAAGCCACCUGUCUGAGAUUUUUGUCUCAGUGUGACUAUCCGGGUUAAUUAAAGGUUAAAUAAAAUAAGUAACACAAUGUAUUAGAACUAGUGUGUUAAUAUAAUCCUGUGAUUUGUGUUGCUGCCAGAAAUGCUUUCAGAGCUGCUGUUAUAGAAACUUAAUCACCUUCUGACCAAUCAGAAUCAGGCAUUCAACUGCACGGUGGUAUUUCUUUUUUUUUCUUUCUUUUGUUUAAAGGUGAAGAAGGGUAUUGACAUGUGUGACAGAGAAAGCAAUUGGAAAAAAAAGUUGGAAAUAAGAAAUAUUUAUUUCUUCCAUUUACCGUAAGUGCAGGUUUACUUUUCAGAAAACAAAUAUUUCUGCAAAUAUUUCAUUUUAGAGAAUAAAAUAGUCUAUCAAAUCAAAUAUCUAGAACAAAGUGAGAUUUAUAGUUAGUAGCUAGCAAUACUAGUGACUCAGAAUUCAGACCUUGAGUAACACGACCGCAUUAAAAACCUUUUUACAUCUCUAAACACAUAUUUAUUCUAGUUGCACAAUACUGUCUUUGAUUUGGAAUAAACUUGAGUAUAGUAAUGGUUGUUCCAGACAAAUACAAUGAGCUGUUAACUUUGUGAAUUUUUUUAUGUCAUAUAGAGAUAUUAUGUUAUUGGAUGGAAAUGCACUUGUUUGUACUAUAAGGCCAGCACUGUUCCCCAAACCACCCCCCACCCACAUUCUUACCAGAUAGAGCUUUGUUUUUGAGCACAUUGUAUGUCAGUCCACACCUUGUACAUUGCUUGCUUUUUUAUUGCUUGUACUGUAUAAUACUUUUAAAUGAUUGAGAAAACUAGGGGAAACAAUUAUAUUGUGGCCUGGGAAAAUCCUUCACUUGGUCACAUUAGCUCUGGAAAUUACAAGCUUUCCUAAAUGGAAAUAUGUUUCUCUUUGGCAUGUACAGUGCCCUACACUAAUAUUGGCACCCUUGGUAAAUAUGAGCAAAGAAGGCUGUGAAAAUUGUCUUUAUUGUUUAGGCUUUUGGUCUUUUGUUUAAAUUUUUUUCAAAAAUACUCUGCUCUCAUGUAUAUCAAACAAUUGCAAACACAACACAGAAAAAAAUAUAUUUUUGCUAAAUAUAGGUGUGCAACAAUUUUUGGCAUCCUUAUGAAUUCAUAUGAGAAAAAUAAAUUUGAAGCAUAUUCUCAUUGAUAUAUAUUUUUUAAAUUUGUACACCUGGGUGACUGGAACUUUGGAAAUUGUUUAACCAUGACUUCCUGUUUCACAGGGGUAUAAAUAUGAGGUAACAUAGGCCAAAUUCCCUUAGUCAUUCAUAACAAGUUGAAGUUCUAGUGGCUUUAUUGUCAUUUCAACCAUAUACAGUUGGUACAGUACACAGUGAAACGAAACAAAGUUCCUCCAGGACCAUGGUGCUACAUAAAACAAGACACUAACCACCUGACUGCCUCUACCAGAAAGCUUAAAAUGGGCUGUGGUUGGAUCUUCCAGCAGGACACUGAUCCAAAACAUACAUCAAAAUCAACACAAAAAUGGUUUACUGACCACAGAAACAAGGUCCUGCCACAGCCAUCCCAGUCCCCUGACUUGAAACCCAUAGAAAACCUGUGGGGUGAACUGAAGAGGAGAGUCCACCAGCAUGGACCUUGACAUUUAAAGGAUCUGGAGAGAUUCUGUAUGGAGGAAUGGUCUCAGAUCCCUUGCCAUGUAUUCUCCAACCUCAUCAGGCAUUAAAGGAGAAGACUCAGAGCUGUUAUCUUGGCAAAGGGAGGUAGCACACCUAUAUUUAACAAAGAUAUUUUUUGAAAAACCUGUGUUUUGUGAUUUUUGUUUGACAAAAGUUCAAAAGAUUAAACAGUAAAGACAAUUUUUCACAGCCUUCUUUGCUCUUAUUUACCAAGGGUGCCAAUAUUAGUGGAGGGCACUGUAUCUGAACAAUAAGAAACAUUAUAGCACGUUAAAAUCAACCAAAGGUCAAAAUGGUUUAAAUAAUUCAUUCCAAUUCCUGCUAAUGGUAAAACAAUAUUGUUGCCAAAUUUUACAGAAUUAUACAUUUACAAUUGGAAAUGAGUGACAUUUAAACACAAGCCUCAUGGCCGUCUCUUCAGUCAAAUGAUCUCUGUUCAUUGGUGGAGAUCAUUGGUGGAGAAAUAACAGAUGAUUAAUUCAGUCAGUUCUGUUCUGCUGGCUAAAUUUUCUUUUCAUAAGACCAUUUCAACAGUUGGACAGGCUUAUGACCUUCUCGGUAUGACAUGUAUAUAUCCAAAAACUGGAAUGGAGUUUUGGUCAAAAUCUUAUUUUUCAUCCAAACAUCUGACGGGUUUUCCCAGACCACCACAUAAAUCCUUUAACUAAUAAUUCCCUGACUGACAUUACUAUAAAUAUGAUAACUAUAAUGAAUUCACCAAUAUGUGUAUUUAUUAUGUAUAUUGAUAUCAGUUAGGACAUCAGAAUGUCACUAAACUGAAGUUUAAUCACUAAUCCACAUAGAUAUUUAGCUCUCAACUCUGGAGGCCCACUGAUUUGCACAGGCUCAGGUUUUCUCUGUUGCCAACAUGCCUGAUCCAAUUUGUGGAGGGAAUAUUCUAAUCAUGAUCAUGAUUUUUAGAUUUUUCAAAUAAUAAAUUGUAAUUUAAUGAAAUGUUAGUGAGCUAAUAUUAGAUAUCAGUCUUCACUGACUCUGGUUAAUUUAAU
ensembl:lncRNA